GCACUAUAUAUCUAAAUUAAUUAAAUUUUAUAUAUCAUUAUAAUAAAAUAAAUUAUAAAAUUUUAUUUAAAUAUUUAAAUUAAAAUUUAAAUUAAAUCAAGAUAUAGAAUAAUUAAUUUUUAAUGAAUUAUAAUUAAUUAGAUUAAAUUUAUUAAAAUAAAAAUUAAAUUUAUUAAAAUUUUAAAGUAAUUUUAUUAAUUUAAAUAAAAUGAAUUAAUUUAUUAUUACGUACAAAUUGCCCGUCAAUUUUAAAUAUAAAAUAAGUCGUAACAAAGUAAAUAUAUUGGAAAAUGUAUUUAAUA
rnacentral:rRNA from 1 species